GACGAACGCUGGCGGCGUGCUUAACACAUGCAAGUCGAACGGAAAGGCCCUGCUUUUGUGGGGUGCUCGAGUGGCGAACGGGUGAGUAACACGUGAGUAACCUGCCCUUGACUUUGGGAUAACUUCAGGAAACUGGGGCUAAUACCGGAUAGGAGCUCCUGCUGCAUGGUGGGGGUUGGAAAGUUUCGGCGGUUGGGGAUGGACUCGCGGCUUAUCAGCUUGUUGGUGGGGUAGUGGCUUACCAAGGCUUUGACGGGUAGCCGGCCUGAGAGGGUGACCGGCGGCCAGGGGAAGGAGAGCAGCGCGGGAAGCCUGCGGGAGGGGGAGGGGGGGAAGAGGGGGAGAGGGGCGGAGGACGGGUGCAGGACGGCGGGGGGGGGGAUGACGGCGUGGGGGUGAUAACCAGCGUGGGAGGGGGAGGAAGCGGGAGGGGAGGUAAAGGAGAAAGAAGGACGGGCGAACCACGGGCCAGCAGCAGAGGUAAAAACGAAGAGAACACGUUUAAAC
rnacentral:rRNA from 1 species